AGCGAACGCUGGCGGCAGGCCUAACACAUGCAAGUCGAACGGAUCCUUCGGGACUAGUGGCGGACGGGUGAGUAACACGUGGGAACGUGCCCUUUGGUUCGGAACAACUCAGGGAAACUUGAGCUAAUACCGGAUGUGCCCUUCGGGGGAAAGAUUUAUCGCCAUUGGAGCGGCCCGCGUCUGAUUAGCUAGUUGGUGAGGUAACGGCCCACCAAGGCGACGAUCAGUAGCUGGUCUGAGAGGAUGAUCAGCCACACUGGGACUGAGACACGGCCCAGACUCCUACGGGAGGCAGCAGUGGGGAAUCUUGCGCAAUGGGCGAAAGCCUGACGCAGCCAUGCCGCGUGAAUGAUGAAGGUCUUAGGAUUGUAAAAUUCUUUCAGCGGGGACGAUAAUGACGGUACCCGCAGAAGAAGCUCCGGCUAACUUCGUG
rnacentral:rRNA from 1 species